rnacentral:piRNA from 1 species
UGGCUGUCUGACAGGAGAGAGGA